rnacentral:rRNA from 1 species
CAAGGAAUUUUCCCCAAUGGGCGCAAGCCUGAGGGAGCAACGCCGCGUGCAGGACGACGGCCUUCGGGUUGUAAACUGCUUUUGCGUGGGACGAUAACGACGGUACCACGCGAAUCAGCCCCGGCUAACUCUGUGCCAGCAGCCGCGGUAAUACAGAGGGGGCAAGCGUUGUCCGGACUUACUGGGCGUAAAGCGCACGCAGGUGGUAACGCAAGUGGGGUGUGAAAGCCGCCAGCUCAACUGGCGGAGGCCAUCCCAAACUGCGUCACUUGAGGCCUGUAGAGGUAUGUGGAAUUGCCGGUGUAGUGGUGAAAUGCGUAGAGAUCGGCAGGAACACCAGUGGCGAAGGCGGCUCACUGGCUCGAUACUGACGCUGAGGUGCGAAAGCGUGGGGAGCAAACAGGAUUAGAUACCCCCGUAGUCC